rnacentral:lncRNA from 1 species
AGUUGCGAUAGGAGCUGGGUGCUUCUGAUGUAUUAUAUUAUCAACUAUAUCUUUCUUUUGUAUGUUUUCAACUAUUGAUUGAAAUUUUUAUAUAUUGAUGUAAAAUUAUAAAAAAAUUAUUUAAAAAUAAAUAAAAAUUAUUUUUUUCUAUUUUCAGAUAAAGAUCAAGCAUUCAUGGUAGUCUUCAUGGAGAUGAAGAUUAGACUACCAGAUAUUUGUAGAGCAAAGAUGAAUUAAGAUAGACC